GUUUAUGAUUCAGGAUUCUCCUUUGUGUUCACAAUGCUAAGCAGCUGUCAUGAAACCACGAGUUAGAGAAAUGAGAGUUCAACUCAUCACCACAGUCUACGUGGUCCUUCUUCUUUGCAUUUGUGAUGCUUUUGAGGUUUUCCAGCCAGCCAGUCAGACCUUAAAUCCAGAUGGCACUUUCUCAAUCAUUUGUGAGCACACAAAAACAGUCCCCUCAAAAAUGGAUGCCAGACUGAACAAAAUGCCCCUUCCUCAAAAUUCUCCUUCUGCAAAGAGUGAAAUCAUCUGUCAGCUAAGGAACCCCAAUUUAAACUGCACCGUGUUUUCCCUAGAAAGUAACCGGUACAAAUUUAUAGUAUACCAUGUGGAUCCAAAUGACAUAGGACGGCGUUAUGAGUGUGAGUUCUCCAACCUAACGCAAAUUCCGAUCAUACCCAAAAAGGGAUCUCCGACCAAACUACUCCAAGCAGUGUCCACAUCUCCAUGCUUGAGGGAUACAACCGAAGUCUCUGUGUGUUCCACCCCAGCCCUUCUCCACCGUCCAGACCUUAACCUUAUCUCAUGGCUGCUGAUUGGACUAUCUGGCUUGUUUCUUCUCUACAGCCUCGUUAUAACGUCUGUCUAUGUCAAACUAAAGCAAAAUCAAACCAAGAGAAGGGGAGGAAACCCUGAAAGCACUUCAACCUACAUGGAUAUGAGGAAGAAGCCCCCUGGAGUGAGGGUGUGACACAGGCACAGCUCUGGCGAGUCUCCUGCGAGGCUGCUCUAUUGUGAUCGCAUGUAUUAUCAUUUCAGAUACAGUAUAAAGUAUAAAAGUAUAACUGUCUCUGGUUAAUUAUGAGCUAUUUCAUCGAUUUAUUGAAAUUGUUUGUGUUAUCUUUUACGCCAUAUUAUAAUUGUGUGAUGCGACACAGAGGAAGUUGUUGUGAAAGAUAGUCAAUGGACUUUAUCAUCCACAAUGGUGAAGGCUAUUACAGUAGCAAGCUUGUAGUGGUCAACUGUGCUGGCUUGGAGAUCAGUUAUCUGUAGUAAUAUCUUUGUAAAAAACAGUAAGUAAUCAAGGAUCCUAGACACCAUUUCUCCCAGGACUUCUCUAGCAGCUGAUAAGAGCUCAAAAUAGUAACAUUAAGCUUGUGUGCAAUUCUUAUUUGUUUGCAGAAUCCCCCAAUGGAAACUAUGUGCUAUGUACAGUAGACAGUUAUGUCUAGCCCACCUGAUUAAGAUACGUUUUAUAUUGUUAGAGACUUGUUAGUACGGCAUAAUUUAAUCACAAAAACGGAAUGACAAAAAUGUUAAUGCUCAAUAGAGACCGCUUGUUGAGGAAUUUGUAGUUAAAUAAAGUUAUGGAGAGUAA